rnacentral:lncRNA from 1 species
UUCUUUUGCACUAACUCCAUUCAUUAUCCUUCACAAUGUGUUGCUGGUUCCUUCCUUUAAACACAUGAUUUCUGUCCACAAGUUAGUGAAACAGUUGCAUUGUGUAGUUUUGUUCACUGAAAAUUCCUGCUUCCUCCACAUGAUACAGGACCCUUCUCUGAGGAGGCCUCUGGAUCUUGGUAAAGAAGAUGCUGGCAUAUAUAAACUGGCUUGGGUUCCAC